GUAUAAAAGACUCAUAUUUCCUAAAUAAUCAACAAAAUGGUGAAAUUUUACCAGGCAACGCCAAGAUACAUUUGUAAAACACUGCCUUUGCUCAUAAAAAUCCUGCCCCAAGUAUGUUAACCAUCUUGCUUCUAAUUUCGGAUCGUUAAAAUGGAAAUUUGGAAAAUCUUUCUUUUGCACAAAUG
rnacentral:sRNA from 1 species